rnacentral:lncRNA from 1 species
UGUUAUAAUCUUUUUAUCACAUGUUUAAGUGCUGCAGAAAAGAGAAAAAAAGGUCAAUUAUAACAAUUUAAUGAUACAUAAAAGGUAAAAUCUUGAGCAAUUUACCACAAACGUGUCGUUAAGUAUGCAAUGACGUCACGUCAUUAGGAACAGGGCACAAUAUCAAUAUCUCUUUUUUGCCCGGGCAAUUUUGAGGUUAUUGCAUAUGCAAAACCUAAGGUAUUCAUAACAAAUAUGUGAUAAUGAAACUUUCCAUAUAGUCAUAAAAGACAUAUGCAUAUUUUUUUUAAUUUUGAGGUUUCUUAUGACUUUAAAUAUUUAUAUUACCAUAGUAUGUUAGUUUUCUCAUUCUUAUUGUUUUACAUUUGUCAGUUUGGGGCCUUUAAUAUCGACUAUACGGUAAGGGCUUUCAUUGUCAAAGGCCAUACGAUGAUCUAUAGUUGUUAAUUUCUAUGUCAUUUUGUUUCUUGUAGAGAGUUGUUUCAUUUUUUUUGGCAAUCAUAUUACAUAUUUUUAAAUCAAUUUUAAUAAAUUUUUUUUUUUUUUUUUUUUAGAGCAAACAGGUACAAUUCUUCAUUUAUCCUCUUUGUAAAUACCCUGUAAUCAUCAUUUUUUGGGGCGAAUGGAAGAAAACAACAUUAAUUAACUAUAUACCUGUGUUUACCAGUAAAAUGGCGCAAAUGAAAUAUGGUUUGUGGCGCAAAUGAAAGAUUUUUUUGGCGCAAAUGAAAUGCCAAUUGACGCAAAAGCAAAGCACUGAUUAAUACAUAUUGAAAAACAAAAAUACCAGGUGAACUAUAUAGGCUCCUUAGAACCUGUAGAAGCCACUUUUUAAAUGUUAUCAUUACUAUUUACUUAAUCUUGAAUCAAACAUUUAGGGCACUAUAUAUGACUACCAUUAUUUAUAUACAUAUAAUUUAAUUAUUUUUUUAUAAUUUUUCUUAUUUAACAAUUUGUACAUUUAUUUGUUGUUGUUGUUUAAUUCAUGUACUUAUUUACAAUGCAUAGGGAAACAAGGAUAGAAACCUGAUAUUGGUUGAGAACAGUACCCUCCUAAGUUCUAUUUUAAGCUUGCUUCACUUUGAAUAUAUAUAUAUGAAAUUGAAAAUAAGAUACUUUGAAAUGUAUACUUUACUGUGAUUGAAGUCUGAGUUCUUUGAUAUAAUUGAUUCAUAACAUCUAUAUGAUCUACAAACUAACAAAAUUAAACAUGUUUACCCCAAAAGGUACUUCCAAAUUUUUAUAAGACCGCACAGAAUUUUUUAGGAUUUUGUAUAAUGCUAUGAUGUUUUCGUCAGCGUCCGAAGACACAUUUGGUUUCCAGACAACAACUUAAGUUAAAGUGAAUGAGUCUUUAUAAAAUUUUAAAAGAAGGUUAAAUACCAUAUAGGGAAGGUUGGGAUUGAAUUUGGGGGCUAUGGUACCAACAGUUUAUUAAUUGGGGGCCAAAAAAAGCAUUUUUGUAGUUUCCAGACAUUAACUUGUGUGCAAGUGUAUGGAUCUCUCUCAAAUUUCUAAACGAUUAGGGAGGUGGAUCAUUUGACCAGUAAUGCAG